CUAGAAAUGUUCACCACUGAAAACAAUCUGGCAAUGAUAUAACACUGGUGGCUAGAGGUAUUCCGGUGUGAAAAGCGUUGUGGUUGCAUUGGCAAUAGGAAGAUUGAAGGGAUGCCUCCUAGCUCCUGUGGAUACCUGGACAGGGCGUCAAACGAAUCUAUUAAGUGAGAUCAUUGUGUGUCCGUUAAUUUUUCGGUUUCUCAGGAUUAUUUGGCUAUUUGCCAUCAUGCUAACGAUGUGCCAAUGUGGGAGACCAUCUAUCAUGCUGUUUGACUUGAUAGUGAAUAUAAAUCCCGGGCUUGAAUAAUGGUGUUCAAUUUCAGAUUACUUCUCGAGUAGACUGGACGGAAGUUAACCCGAUUUCUACGGACCACAUCAUUGUCGUAGUACAAGUGAUAACCACUGGCGUUGAUAGCACAAUGCGUGGUAACCUAUUAGUUCUAUUACCCAAUGUGACAUUUUUAAUACUUGUAUCUUUGCAAUUUUGGCAAUUGACGGACAGUACCUAUAUAAGGAGACACUCAAGUAGCGUGGUGUAUCGCAACCCCGGCCACAGAACCACAACACGACCAGGAUGCAUGCGAGGUGAACAUGGUAGAGCGAGAUUCUUAUGUCCAUCCUCAUAUAAAAGAAAAAAGAACGUUUGUAUAGAAGACUUUCAACUUUGUGAUGGACUUAUCAACUGUCCAGAUGCCGAAGAUGAGGAUGAAAAAAUGUGUCUAUUUUUCAAAGUUGUGCAAUCCUAUAUCGCAUUUAUGGCUGACGCCAUCUACGAUAGGACGACACGUCCCCAUUCCUACACACGGAAAAGAUGAUGUAGGAAACGACGAACGAUUUCAGAUAGAUCGGUGGUUUCAAUGCCUGGUCGUCACUACAGCGUGACGACAACAACAAGUACAACAACGGCGACAAGAAAAACAACGACAACCAAAUUUUCUUGUGGACAUGCUGACUUCCUUAAAGCGUAGCUCCUUGAUUACGUUUAGGGAUCAAUGCGACCGGAGAUUGCUUCCUCGGCAUCUUCUUCUAGCCUGCCUUCGCUGUGGACUUUCAAUCUGCCGAGGUUCUGCUAAUGUGGUUAGAGUGGUUUCUGAUUGGCCUGCGAUGGGACCGCGUAAUGUCAUAGGUCAUGCGGUGAGAGGACAGUGUGCGCAUUUAAGGGGCCCUGUCCAGCCAUGAUCAUUCCCGGCUGACGACAUUGCUGCCAUGGUGUCCAUUUUACCCGUUUCAGUGAUCGGUAAUCUUCGGGAUGGCUGCGGACAGUCCCGAAGAAGACCGACAGGUGCCGAAGUGGAGACAAAUGCGCGAGUGCGCGAUAUGAACGAGAGAGCUCGUCCGAAAAGAAAGCGGUGUCAAUGUUAACAUGGCAGAGGUGAUCGGCAGCUGAGCCCUCGCCGAUUUUUGUGAAUUUCAAUGGAUGUCGAGGGAAAAAAUGUUGAGAAAGAAACCCAACCUUUUAAGCUGGCGAGGGAAUAAACGGGGUUGUGUCUUCAUCAAUUUCUUCAAGCACACGAAUAUAAGAUAGAUACUCCCCUGUGAUCAGUUGAAUUAAGGAAACUGUACUGGUGAGAGACGAAAUGGCAAAAUGACAGGUCGUAAAAUGCUACUUGGGGCAAAUUGUGAAUUGCCUAGUGCAGCGAGUACCUAUUCCGUUCGAAGGCUGUGGAUAAUGACAUACAUAUCUGUGCGUGAUUUCUCGUCUGUGUUUUUGGUGAUUUAUUCUUACUAGAUCAUCAAGAAGUCAAGGACACCUCGAGAGAAGAAAUUAACCAGGGUCUCGGCUACUCCAUUUUGAGAUAUCUCUCAACAGCUGGGCAGAUGAUGUCCUCGUAUUUGCACGUUUCACCUAGACAUGGCUAAUUUUGCACAAAUUACCAAACAUUAGAUAAAUGCAUUUGGGUUCUUGACCGGUCGUUCAAAAUUGCUAACUUUGGCAUUGAGGCUGAAGUACUUUCCCGAAGGAGAUAAAGAAGUUAAUCAAAGUCAACUGCCAGUCGGUGAGUUGAUUUGAACAACCGGGCAUUGGUUUACAUUUCUUUCGGAGAAGGAGAGGGCGUAAUCCCUUUUUACCUCACAGAAUAUAUCUUGUGACACGUCUGCUGAAAGUUCUACGAUUCCAUAACAUCUAUACCGUUUAACUUCCAGUGUGCAACGUGCUAACGUUGAGGGUGUAUCUCAAUUUGAGGGUGAGUCAGUAACCUAGCUGCUGAAAGCGACGAACAACUGUGAAACUGUUCAAUGUAUUGGACCGUAACGUCUGAUUGUUGUAAGAUAUGAAAUAUAUUUAUUUAUCAAAAGGUGCUAUACCUUCAUCUCUGAA